rnacentral:rRNA from 1 species
AUGGCUUCGCCAUUGCAUUGUAGGCCAAAGCUGCGGCUCCUGUGCGUGGCCCUGGCCUUCGUCCUGGCCGUGGACGUGGGCAGGGCGGACAUCUACAAGGACAUCCAGAUCAUAUGGAGCGCGGACCACACCUACUACUUCAUGGACGGUGACAGCGAGGCGCUGGCGCUCUCGCUGGACUUCAACCGGGGCUCCGCCUUCAAGUCCAACGACAUGUACCUCUUCGCCCGCAUCGACAUCGACAUCAAGCUCGUCGAGGGCAACUCCGCCGGCACCGUCUGCACCGUCUACACCAUCUCGGAGGGGCCGUGGGACAUCCACGACGAGAUCGACCUGGAGUUCCUGGGCAACUCCACCGGCGAGCCCUACACCCUCCACACCAACGUAUUCGCCUACGGCGUCGGCGGCCGGGAGCAGCAGUUCAAGCUCUGGUUCGACCCCAGCGCCGACUACCACACCUACUCCAUCGUCUGGAACCCCAAGCGCAUCACGAUCGAGGUGGACGGCGUGACGAUCCGGACGUUCGACAACAACGAGGACCAGGGCGUGCCGUUCCCGUCGUGGCAGCAGCAGCGGGUGUACGGGAGCCUGUGGAACGCCGACGACUGGGCGACGCAGGGCGGGCGCGUCAAGACGGACUGGUCGCUGGCGCCCUUCGUCUCCUACUACCGCAACUACAACAUCACCUACUGCCGGCCGUCGCCCGGCGUGUCGUGGUGCGGCGCCGAGCCCGCCGGGUCCCCGCUCUUCAACCUCUCCCCCAAGGCGCGCGCCGACCUGCAGUGGGUGCGCUACAUGGGCUACGUCCUCUACGACUACUGCACCGACAGGAGCAACCGGUACACCGACGCCACCAGGCCCAAGGAGUGCUCGCUCCCGCCCCGCCCGUGA